rnacentral:tRNA from 1 species
GUAAAUAUAAUUUAAUAAAAAUGCUAGAUUGUGAUUCUAGACAUAAAGGUUAAACUCCUUUUAUUUACC